CCUUCGCCACGCCCGCUCAAGAAACUUAAAGGAAGUUGACGGACCCCGCACAAGCGGUGGAUCAUGUUGUUUAAUUCGAUGAUACGCGAAGAACCUUACCAGGUCUUGACAUCCCCCGCGAUGCUUUAGAGAUAAAGCGGAGGUAUUCGGGGAGACAGGUGGUGCAUGGUUGUCGUCAGCUCGUGUCGUGAGAUGUUGGGUUAAGUCCCGCAACGAGCGCAACCCCUAUUGCUAGUUACCAUCAUUAAGUUGGGGACUCUAGCGAGACUGCCAGUGAUAAACUGGAGGAAGGUGGGGAUGACGUCAAAUCAUCAUGCCCCUUAUGACCUGGGCUACAAACGUGAUACAAUGGCUGGAACAAAGGGAUGCGAAGCAGUGAUGUGGAGCGAAACCCAUAAAAACAGUCUCAGUUCGGAUCGAAGUCUGCAACUCGACUUCAUGAAGUCGGAAUCGCUAGUAAUCGCGGAUCAGAACGCCGCGGUGAAUACGUUCUCGGGGUUU
rnacentral:rRNA from 1 species